AGCAUAAUCUAUAGAGAAGUUGAAUCACUAUGUUGUACACCUGAAACUAAUAUGACAUUGUGUGUCGACUCUGAUAAGAAAAUAAUCAUAAGUAAUGAAACCUUGAGCGAAUAUGCAAAUGGACGAAUUGAACAAGGAAUAUUUAAUUCCCCCCUUUUUCAUGAAAGGGAAAUGAGGUUCAACGUGAAGACACCUGGCCACCCUCACGUGAGCUAGGAGGUAUAGGGCAGGCGUCUAGAACCAUGUCCAUCUGACCCUGAUCUCCUUUCCCUCCUUCCUGCUUCCUCCUUUUCACCAUCUGUCCCCAUUUUACACUAACGAGCAUCACAGGGGGAAGGUGUGGGUUGCGGUCGCUGACCCUACAGUCAGUCUCCUGUUGGAUGCCCAGCCCUGCUGUCCCAUUCACUGGGGCAAUGACACAAAUCCCUGCUCUGGGUAGAGCAGCAUGCCAGACCUUGUGGUGUGGGAGAUGCACAGGACAGAGAGCAUGACCUCGGAUCGCCUCCUUCCAGUGUCACCGUAGGGUGGACACAAGUUUGUGACUGAAAUACUAGAGAAGCCAUCAUGGGUGUUGAGAGAGAAGGAAAGAGUGAAGCAGAAGACAGGCCAGAUUCCUUUGGAAGACUUGGGACAUCCUUUGUCGAGAAGACCUUGGAAAGUGAAUACACUUUUGUUGGGUAGAGUAUAAGGGAAAGUUGGGGCAUUCCAGAUGGGCUUCCGCAAUCCUUCUCCAGCAUGAAUUCCACAGUCCGUGUUGCACAAUGUCUGUGUCCUGGGCCCUUGGCUGGGGUGGGGACGAAAUAAAUAGAUGCAGAGUGUUUCAGGAAAUGUCAGGAAAGUCCAGUUGGUCUGUACUCUGUAGAGUAUGACUAGGUGGCCAGAGAGGAAAUAAGCCUGGGCAGUUGGUGAGGAUCAGAUUUUUGCGAGUUUUAAAUGCCAGUCUAGAGGGUGUUUGUUACAGUCUAUGGCCAAUGAGGAGCUGUGGGAGGUUCUGAGCCAAGCAGUGACCUGACCAGAGCUGUGCAUUAUUUAGAACUAUCCCCUCGGCAACACAUACCUGAUGGACGGGAGAGCCCACGGGCAGUGAGAGGCAGGCUAAGCUCAGUGGUGCCGGUAUUUACCAGAAUGAAAGUGGAGAGCGACUUAACCCCCGAGCCAGAGUUGGCUGACCCCGAUGCUACAUAAUCUCCACCAUCUCUUCCAGCGUUGACAUGACACUGCAACAGUGACACCGAAAUGCCUAGUCCUUAGCUCGUCGUUGUAACUACAAGGGGAAUUUACUUCGAAUAUGAUACACAAGAUGCACUGGAAAGAUUGACACAGAAAGGCCUAUACAAAGUUGUCUCCAGUCUUUGUGCCAUCGUCAUCGUCAGCACACCCCAUAAUUCACACUCUCCCCAAGGGACCACUUAAUGCCAGGCUGCCCAGGCUGCCCUGGGAUCUGUUCAGUAGCCGGCUCUUGGGCUAUAGAGAACGAUACUGGGAAAAGACACUCAGGGUGGUACUCCACACCCCUGCUUCCUGUCCAGAACGGAGUCUCCUCCUGCUUUGCUCCCCAUUCACACUUCCUACUCAAAGCCCCCGUUCCCUUGUAAGGAAAUACCGUAGCCAGGUGUCUGUUCAGUUACCAUCCCUCCCUCUGAUUCUUUCCCACCAAUUCCAUGCUGGGGCAUGUAAUGGUUGUCAGCUGUAGUGUUCUGCGGCUCCCCCAGGUGACGACAUGUGACCUAGACUGGCCAAUCAGAGUUUCCCAUCUACCUUGGCCGCAAAGAUUGCUCAUCAGUGGACAUUAGACCCAAGAAAAGCCAACCAGAGUAUUCCUUGAAGUUGAGCAGGGAGCCAUUGGGAAGGAGAAAUAUUCGUUUCGUUGAGGUUGCUGAGCUGAGGAGAUUCUGGGAGGGCCCAGGGAUUCCAGUGGCCAUUCUUAUCCAGUGUGUGGGAGGAAGAAGCUGUCUGAAAAAUAAAGUCAUAGCUCUGACCAUACAGUAAGGCCCCCGAAUCUAGCCAGACCUGAAGUCAGAGGCUACCUACCACUCCCCAGCCCCCAGACCUCCCAGUUGGAAGGACCAACAAAUUCACUUUUUGCUUAAACUACACUUCAGCGGGGUUUCUGUAAAUUACAACAGAAAGGAUCCUAACUAGGGCACUUCUUUUUUAACCAUUCUUCCUUUUGGCAACUAUCUCCUAUAAUUAUUCCCAUUUAUCAAAAUCCUAGUCAUCUGUAAGCUAAAAGACUCUUCCAGUCCAGCCUCCUCUCAUCCACCCCUGAAGUGAUUUCAUUCCUUCUUCUCAAGUCCCUGGCCCUUGAUUUAAAACAUUCUUAUGGUCACAGGUCAUUUGCUGGAGAUCAACAUGGUUUCUUCAUGCGCAUUUCCUAGCACUCUUCUUAGCGUAUAAGCUCCUUGAGGAGAGGAGCCAUAAGUCAGAUGUCCAUAGGAUAGAUUUCCUCCCCAACUUCAUGCUACAGACCAGGAGGGAGCCGGAGAGUUACUGCUGGAGCUUAUAAAUCCAUGCGUGCGCUAAGCCUCAAAUGCAUAAUAUUCUGUCAAAUCUACAUGCUGGAGAAAAUUCAGUAUGGCCAGAAGCUACCGUAACUAUUACUUAAAUGUAAUACUAAUAUAGAGAGGCUAGCAAAUACUUGGGGCAUUCAAAACAAGUCCUCAAGUGAUCUGAAUGUUAUUACAUGGAUGUACACGUAUGUGGAAACCUUUUGAGUUUUACACUUAAGAUGUGUGCACUUUAGGCAAGUUAUGCCGCCAUUCAAAGUCAAAACUGAAAUAAAAAUACAGGAGUCCUCAUAGUUGACAAAUCUGUCCAUCACUAGUCAAUACACAAAAAAUUAAUUUGAAAUGCAUCAGAGACCUAAAUAAACUGAAAGCUAAAACUAUACAGGUCCUAGAAGAAAAUAUAAGAGAAUAGCUUAUGCCCCUGAGGUAGGCAAUGACUCCUUAGAACCCUAAAAGCAGCAAAAAAAAAAAAAAAAAAAAUAGGCAAGAAAUUCUAACAGACGCUUCACAAAAUAACAUAUAC